GGACCCGCACAAGCGGUGGAUGAUGUGGAUUAAUUCGAUGCAACGCGAAAAACCUUACCUACCCUUGACAUGUACGGAACCCUGCUGAGAGGUGGGGGUGCUCGAAAGAGAACCGUAACACAGGUGCUGCAUGGCUGUCGUCAGCUCGUGUCGUGAGAUGUUGGGUUAAGUCCCGCAACGAGCGCAACCCUUGUCAUUAGUUGCUACGAAAGGGCACUCUAAUGAGACUGCCGGUGACAAACCGGAGGAAGGUGGGGAUGACGUCAAGUCCUCAUGGCCCUUAUGGGUAGGGCUUCACACGUCAUACAAUGGUACAUACAGAGGGCCGCCAACCCGCGAGGGGGAGCUAAUCCCAGAAAGUGUAUCGUAGUCCGGAUUGCAGUCUGCAACUCGACUGCAUGAAGUUGGAAUCGCUAGUAAUCGCGGAUCAGCAUGUCGCGGUGAAUACGUUCCCGGGUCUU
rnacentral:rRNA from 1 species